UAAAAAAUAAACGAACUAUUAGAUUAUAUUAUUCAUACAGAAACUAAAUGGUUGCUGAGAAUUUAGGUUUAGUAUAAUACGAACUCAUCGUUUUAAUUUUUCUGCCGAAAAUAUUUAGUAAGUGGAAACGUUUAUCGCGUUAAAAUAUUAAGGGUUUUCAACUUGUUGAAAAAAAUUAGGUGGUACCGCGGAAUAUUCGUCCUAUAA
rnacentral:ncRNA from 1 species